CCACACGAGUGAGAAUGCAGGCAUGAGUAGCGAAAGACGUGUGAGAAACACGUCCUCCGAAAGACCAAGGGUUCCAGGGUCAAGCUAAUCUUCCCUGGGUAAGUCGGGACCUAAGGCGAGGCCGACAGGCGUAGUCGAUGGACAACGGGUUGAUAUUCCCGUACCGGCGAAGAACCGCCCAAGCUAAUCCAGUGGUGCUAAGAGUCCUAAUCCGGCAGAUGGAUCCCUUCGGGGUGAAGCAGCCGGCCUAACGCUCGACCCCAUGCUGGUGCGGCUAGCGUAUUAACAGGUGUGACGCAGGAAGGUAGCCGAGCCAGGCGAUGGUUGUCCUGGUGUAAGGACGUAGGGCGAGAGAUAGGCAAAUCCGUCUCUCACAUAGCCUGAGAUCUGACGCAUACCCCUCACGGGGGAAUUCGGUGAUCCUAUGCUGCCGAGAAAAGCAUCGACGCGAGGUUCCAGCCGCCCGUACCCCAAACCGACUCAGG
rnacentral:rRNA from 1 species